GCAAGUCGAACGAUGAUGCCCGUGCUUGCACGGGUGGAUUAGUGGCGAACGGGUGAGUAACACGUGAGUAACCUGCCCUUCACUUUGGGAUAAGCCUUGGAAACGGGGUCUAAUACCGGGUAUGACACAUUGCCGCAUGGUGGUGUGUGGAAAGCUUUUGUGGUGAAGGAUGGACUCGCGGCCUAUCAGCUUGAUGGUGGGGUAGUGGCCUACCAUGGCUUUGACGGGUAGCCGGCCUGAGAGGGUGACCGGCCACACUGGGACUGAGACACGGCCCAGACUCCUACGGGAGGCAGCAGUGGGGAAUAUUGCACAAUGGGCGGAAGCCUGAUGCAGCGACGCCGCGUGGGGGAUGAAGGCCUUCGGGUUGUAAACUCCUUUCAGCAGGGACGAAGCUUUUUGUGACGGUACCUGCAGAAGAAGCACCGGCUAACUACGUGCCAGCAGCCGCGGUAAUACGUAGGGUGCGAGCGUUGUCCGGAAUUAUUGGGCGUAAAGAGCUUGUAGGCGGUUUGUCGCGUCUGCCGUGAAAGCCCAGGGCUUAACCCUGGGUUUGCGGUGGGUACGGGCAGGCUAGAGUGUGGUAGGGGAGACUGGAAUUCCUGGUGUAGCGGUGAAAUGCGCAGAUAUCAGGAGGAACACCGAUGGCGAAGGCAGGUCUCUGGGCCACUACUGACGCUGAGAAGCGAAAGCAUGGGGAGCAAACAGGAUUAGAUACCCUGGUAGUCCAUGCCGUAAACGUUGGGAACUAGGUGUGGGCCUCAUUCCACGAGGUCCGUGCCGUAGCUAACGCAUUAAGUU
rnacentral:rRNA from 1 species